GACGAACGCUGGCGGCGUGCUUAACACAUGCAAGUCGAACGAAGAGCGACGGAAGCUUGCUUCUAUCAAUCUUAGUGGCGAACGGGUGAGUAACGCGUAAUCAACCUGCCCUUCAGAGGGGGACAACAGUUGGAAACGACUGCUAAUACCGCAUACGAUCUAAUCUCGGCAUCGAGGAUGGAUGAAAGGUGGCCUCUACAUGUAAGCUAUCACUGAAGGAGGGGAUUGCGUCUGAUUAGCUAGUUGGAGGGGUAACGGCCCACCAAGGCGAUGAUCAGUAGCCGGUCUGAGAGGAUGAACGGCCACAUUGGGACUGAGACACGGCCCAGACUCCUACGGGAGGCAGCAGUGGGGAAUCUUCCGCAAUGGACGAAAGUCUGACGGAGCAACGCCGCGUGAGUGAUGACGGCCUUCGGGUUGUAAAGCUCUGUUAAUCGGGACGAAAGGCCUUCUUGCGA
rnacentral:rRNA from 1 species